UACAGAGGUCUCAAGCGUUGUUCGGAUUCAUUGGGCGUAAAGGGUGCGUAGGUGGCGCUGUAAGUCGGGUGUGAAAUUUCGGAGCUUAACUCCGAAACUGCAUUCGAUACUGCGGUGCUUUGAGGACUGGAGAGGAGACUGGAAUUCAUGGUGUAGCAGUGAAAUGCGUAGAGAUCAUGAGGAAGACCAGUGGCGAAGGCGGGUCUCUGGACAGUUCCUGACACUGAGGCACGAAGGCCAGGGGAGCAAAACGGG
rnacentral:rRNA from 1 species